CCCCAGUCUUCCCCUUCCUCCUUCUUCCUCUCCCUCCCUAACCCCGCACCUUCGGACCUCCUCCUCCCCUCCACCCCCGGCUGCCUGCCGGAGCCCCCACGCCGGAGUGAGUGGGAAGCCCCACCGCCAACAAGUCUGGCCUCUGGCUAGAGAAGGGGCGGGCGAGCGCAGCCGCAGACGGCGCGCGUCCUGCAGAGAGAGAGAGAGGAGAGAGCGAACUGAGGUUGUACUUCAUGCAGAGUAGUAGAAGAAAAGAGGACAGUACCCCAUCGCUAAGAGCAUCCUGAGGUGGAUCACUUUGCUGUUCUUUCUGCUUACACCAGAUCGCCUCUGCUGGAAAUACGUAGAAGUUAUUCUCAAAACUCAGUGUGCUGGGGCGCCUGGGUGGCUCAGUUGGUUAAGCGACUGCCUUCGGCUCAGGUCAUGAUCCUGGAGUCCCAGGAUCGAGUCCCGCAUCGGGCUCCCUGCUCAGCAGGGAGUCUGCUUCUCCCUCUGACCCUCUUCCCUCUCGUGCUCUCUAUCUCUCAUUCUCUCCCUCUCAAAUAAAUAAAUAAAAUCUUAAAAAAAAAAAACUCAGUGUGCUGGAAUCAGCAUUUCCCCCCAUAUUUGCUGGGAAAGAGCCC
rnacentral:lncRNA from 1 species